AGUAGCUUACUGUCCAGUGAGUGUUUGGUCAGGAGCUGUGUUUAGACUUCUUAUGCUAGUUAAGCAUCCACUCCAUGUAAGUCUGCCCCAUCUCCUCUGAUUGCUUCUGAGUGAAUUCAGCCUUCCUGAAUCUCAGAGUUGACUAAAAUUCCAAGGGCUCUUCUUGAUUAUCUUUUUCCACGGUCCUCCUUAAUAAACUCCUGGAUGCUUUGCCAUUUUGUUUAAGUGAUACCAGCCUCUUCUUAAAUGCCCUCCACAAGUUCUCCAUUGUUACUACAAUGCUCUUUGGCUUGGAGUCCUCCAUACUCUGUUCCAAAUACUGUCGGUCCUGAGCUGACUUCUUCAUCCUUCUGGGCUGCCUUCCUGGUGGGCAGACCCUCAGCAACACUGCAUCAGAGCUGGGGUGACGACACCUCCACUUCACCUGGAUAUGGCACUGAAAUUCCAGCAACCACCUUGUGACAAGCGUGAGGAUGAAAACAUCACACCCAGAAGGACAAAGCUAAGACAGUCAUGCCCAGAUACCAGAGAACACAACUUCAAUGGAACCACUGUUGAGUACAGCCAUCGUCCCCUUUCCAGAACUCUGGAUCAUGUCAAUUUCAGUGCAUCUCAUCUCAUUCCCAUCAUCCGGUACCUGCCUCUCCAAGGACACAGCAGCAGAGGCACAGUGAUGCUGAAAGAGGAACCAUCUUGCCAGAGGCUGGCAUGGAACCGUGGCUGCGGUGAAAAAUGAAGGAAGAGGAGUUGAAUGAAGGCCAGUGAGCUGACCCGAAGCAUUUGAAGGUCCCGGACAACCUUACUCAAAUAUGAACUCGAGGUUAAAAGGAACCUUGGUAUUUUGUACCUCAUGCUGAAAUUACUGAAAUAUCUGACAUGAACUAUAAGAUUGACCUGAGUUUUUAUUUGAGAGUGAAAAUAUUCACCUCAUGUGGUCUGGAGACUUUAUCUAAUUGGAUUUGAACAUGAUUCUGAUCAAGAAACGUAUAUUUUCCCAUUUGGAAGCCUGGACUGAAAAUAAUUGCAGGAGAUUGAGAGUACACGUUGGUGAUUUCCAACACAGACACAAAGAGAUUAGUAUGGAGGUUAAACCUAUUCUCCAUACAGUAUUUAAAUGACUUACGUGAUGAGAUCAGGUCCCAAAGGACAUCUUAAUUUGCUAAUAAUGGAAAACCAUGGAGGAUCAAGCCAUCCCAGUGACACUGAAAAGAUUUAGCAGGAUUUAUGCAGAGUAGAAAUGGUAAGUAUCAACAAACACAUGUUAUUCCCAUCCAGUUUUAUAAAAUAGCAAAAUUAGUUUCUGAUAUACAAAGACAUGAGGACAUCAUUCCAGUAGUGAAUGAGUGGGAAGAUGGAAAUAGAGGUAAGAAUUGAAAUUGAGCAAUGUAAAAAAUGAUAUUCUAGUACCAAAUUUACUGUCUCUUUAUAUAAUUAUAUGAUACAUAUAAUUAGAAUUAUAGAUCUGGUGUUUUGGAAUCUAUUUUCCUAAAGAAAAAAUGAUAUAUUAAUAAUCUUCCACAUAUUUACCACUCACUAAAUAUGUGUUGAUUGGUUGAGAUUUAUAGAAUACUUUUAGAGUUUGACUUAGAAGACAUUAAAGAGGAUAUUGAGAAUGAAUUUUAUAAAUCGAGUGGUGUUACAUAUUAGUUCAGGUAAUAUUAGUUGGUAUAACCAACAAACCCAGGAAAUUUAAGAUGACUAAAAUUCAUAGAAAUUUAUUUGAGUCUGAAAUAGGUGUUUUAAUUGGGAAUCAGUUCUGGUUGUUAUUCAUGGUCCCAGGCUUUUUAAAGUUUUUUUGGUUCAACAUCUCAUAGGGCCUUGGGUUCCCUGCUGAGUCUUCUCCAUCCAGCUGGAUAAUGGGAAAAAGAGAGUGGAGAAGUCACACCUCCCUGGUCACCUAAACCUGCAUGUGAUGUAAUUCACUUCUGCUCACAUUUCAUCAGCAAGAACUGGUUUACAUGGCCCUAAUUAUAGCAAGAAGGCUAGGAAAUAUAUCCCAUGAGGGGCAGCCACUUCCAGCAGUAACUGGGAAGCAUGAAUUUUUGGUAGUCAACUAUUUGUCUCUGCCACAGUUCACCCCUUUGGCCACUAAAUAUGCUUUUGUAACUUUUUUCCCCACAAAAAAAAAUAUGAUAAACAAAGGGGAACAACUUCAAAUCAAACAUAAUGCUUCCUGUUCAAUGUCUAGGAUCUCUUUAUCAGAUCCAUGUGUGGCUCCUCUGAUACGGCAAUUUAUCAAUUAAAGUAUGACUGUCCCCUAAACACCUCCUAAUAUAAAAAGAAGAAGCAGGGUCAAUAUAAUGAAAUUAGAGUUUGCUUUUCUUAAAGGAAGGAAUGGGAGACACAGAGAAGUCCCUGAUGUAUAGCAAUGGUGAGUUCUUUCAAAAUAAGCAUUUUGAAAGUAGAAUGGCAUUUAGUUUUUUAAAAAUAUAGUAUCACAUACAAAUAAGUAUAUUAUCUGAUGCCAGGGAUAAGAGUUUGGGUAUUUUGACAUUUGAAGCAUGACUAAAACAAGGACACCAAUGUCCCCAGAUUACAAGGAAAAAUACUCCAUUAGACUGACUCACUUUUCAAAUUUGUAUGAAAACAUGCCUCCUCCCACACGCACAUGGAGACACCUUGGUAGCACUGAAAAUUGUAGUUUUUAUUUUAUUUUAUUAUUUAUUUAUUUUUGAUAUGGAGUUUCUCUCUGUCACCCAGGCUGGAGUACAGUGAUGCAAUCUUGGCUCACUGCAACCUCUGCCUUGCGGGUUCAAACGAUUAUCCUACCUCAACCUCCUGAGUAGGUGGGAUUACAGGCGCCUACCACCACCCCCGGCUAAUUUUUGUAUUUUUAGCAGAGACGAGGUUUCACCAUGUUGGCCAGGCUGGUCUCGAACUCCUGACCUCAGGCGAUCCACCCGCCUCGGCCUCCCAAAGUGUUGGGAUUACAGGUGUGAGCCACUACACCCGGCCAAUAGCACUGAAAAUUAAUGAUGCAGUGGAUACAACUGCCUCAUUUGUUAUUGGUCCAAUUUCUAAAUCGGUCACUUAGAUGGUAAUAACAUAAAGUAUGCUCAAAAGAUAUAGGCAGUUUCAAUGAACCCAGACCCCCACCCCCAUUACAAAUAAAUGUUUUUCCAUUCUAAUUUUUCCUCUUUGCCAUGCUGAGUUCUUUCACAGGGGCAAUUGGAAAGCCUCUUGCUAGUUUAGUACCUGUCAGACAUUUCCAUCCAGUGGGAUUUGUACCCUGGCCAUUUCUAGUUCUGUGUCACUGAAUUGGCCAGGAAACUCUAGCAACACAAACACAUUUUUAUAUCAUUUCCAACUUUCCCCUGCACUUGGUGCCAAUAUUUGAUUAUCUGCUCUAACAGAGGGGAAUAGAAAUACAAAGAGAUCCCAAAGUCAUUUAUAUUUGGCUUUACAGUAUAAUGACAACUUUUCAGUUUCUGCUCCUUUUUCAUGCAGUUUUAGUUAGACUAAUAUUAAAAUGAAUUUAUGCCCCUAGAAAAAAAAAAACAACAUGUUGGUUGAGUGUCAAGAGGAAAAGUAAUUCAGUGCUAAAAUUCUGUGAUGGAUAAUCUACAAUGUGGAAAAGCUACCACCAGUCAAUCAAGAAUUGAUGAAUAAAUUGAUUUUUUUCUUGUUUUUGACCACUUUAUUACAAUAUGAUUGACAUACAAAAGGCUGAACAUAUUUAAUGUAUACAACUUGAUGAGUUUGGAGAUAAAGGUACACCCAUGAGACUAUCACCACAAUCAAGACCAUAAAUUUCUCCAUCGCCUCCCAGCAUUUCCUUCUGCCCUAUUUUUAAAUUUUUCUUUUAAAAUUAAUGUUUGUUCUAUUGUGGUAAGAGCAUUGAACAUAAGAUCCACUCUCUAGCAAACUUUUUAAGUAUAAAUUAUUGUUAACUUUAGGACCCAAGUUGUACAGUAUUUAUUACUCCAGAACUUACUCAUCCUCCAUAACCAGAACUUGGCACCCUUUGACCAACACCUCUUCACUUCCCCUCUCCUCAGCCCCUGGUAAACACUGUUGUACUCUCCGAUCCCACGAGUUUGACUAUUUUAGAUUCCUCAUUAAAGUAGGAUCAUGUAGUAUUUGUAUUUCCGUGUCUGACUUAUUUCACUUGCCACAAGGUCCACCAGAUCCACCUAUAUUGUCAGAAAUGGCAGGAUUUCCUUUUUGAAGGCUAAUAGUCCAUUGUAUGUAUAUAUAGGUAUAUAUCACAUUUUCUGUAUCCAUUCAUCUGUGAAUAAACAUUUAGGUUGCUUUCACAUGUUGGCUACUGUGAAUAGUGCUGCAGUGAAUAUGGGAGUGCAGAUACUGCUUUGAUAUACUGAUUUUAUAUCCUUUGGAUAUAUAGGCAGAAGUGAGAUUGUUGGAUCAAAUGGUAAUUCUAUUUUUAAAAUUUUUUUGAGGAAUCUCCAUACUGUAUUCCACAAUGGCUGUACCAAUUUACAUUCCCGAUAAUAGUAUACAAAGGUUCGCUUUUCUCCACAUCCUGCCAACACUUUGUUAUUUUUGUUUGUAAUAGCCAUUAAACAGGUAGGAAGUCAUAUGUCACUGUGGUUUUGAUUUAUUUCUCCCUGGUGAUUAGUAAUGUUGAGCACAUAUUCAUGUACCUGUUUGUCUCCUUUGGUGUAAUGUCUAUUGAGGUCUUUGCUUAUUUUUAAAAAUUGGGUUAGUGUUAUAUAUUAUUAUUAUUAUUUGGUCUUGAGUUGUAGCACUUCCUUAUGUAUUUUGGAAAUUGUACCUUUCUCCGAUGUACAGUUUGCAAAUAUGUUCUUUCAUGUUUUCUCUUAUGUUUGGCCUUUUCAUUUUGUUGAUUAUUUAUUUUGUUGUGCAAAACCCUUGUGGUUUUAGGUAACCCUAGUUACCUAUUUUUGCUUUUGUUGCCUGUGCUUUUGGUGUGAGAUCCAAUAAUCAUUGCCAAAUCCAAUCUCAUUAAUCAUUUUUUCCUAUGUUUUAUUCUAAGCAUUUUAUUGUUUCAGGUUUUACAUUUAAGUCUUUAAUCCAUUUUGAGCUGAUUUUUGUGUAUGGCAUAAGAUAAGGGUUUAACUUAAUUACUUUGGUUUCCUACACCAUUUAUUGAAAGUAUUGUCUUCUCCCCAUUGUGUAUUUUUGGCACCCUUGAUAUAGAUUAGUUGACCACACAUACAUGGGCUUAUUUCUGGGACCUCUAGUCUAUUCUAUUAGUUCGUAUGUUUGUUUUUAAGGCCAGUACCAUACUGUUUUGAUAUCUUAGGCUUGAAAAUAUAUUAUGAUAAGAGGGAUUAUGAUACUUUAAGCUGCUGUAUUUUUACUCAAAAUUGUUUUCGUUUAUUAGGGUCUUUUGUGUUUCCAUAUAAAUUUUAUGAUUUCUUUUUCUAUCUAUGUAAAAAGUGCUAUUGGUGGAUUGGCUCAUAGAAAAUAAUUUUAUAUAAUUUUUAAUUAUAAUAGAGAUUACACUGAUUCUGUAGAUCACUUUGGGUAUAAGUUGAUUUUUAUUUGAAGAAUAAAUUCUUUUCUCCUUCUGUGAAA
rnacentral:lncRNA from 10 species